rnacentral:rRNA from 1 species
CAGCCGCCGCGGUAAUACGUAGGGGCCAAACGUUGUCCGGAUUUAUUGGGCGUAAAGGGCUCGUAGGCGGUUCAACAAGUCGGUCGUGAAAGCCCGGGGCUCAACCCCGGGACGCCGGUCGAAACUGUUGUGACUAGGGUCCGGUAGAGGUGAGUGGAAUUCUCGGUGUAGCGGUGGAAUGCGCAGAUAUCGAGAGGAACACCAGUAGCGAAGGCGGCUCACUGGGCCGGUACCGACGCUGAGGAGCGAACGCAUGGGGAGCAAACCGGAUUAGAUACCCUGGUAGUCCAUGCCGUAAACGAUGAACACUAGGUGUGGCGGACUCAUUGACGUCUGCCGUGCCGCAGCUAACGCAUUAAGUGUUCCGCCUGGGGAGUACGGCCGCAAGGCUAAAACUCAAAGGAAUUGACGGGGCCCCGCACAAGCGGCGGAGCAUGCGGCUUAAUUCGACGCAACCCGAAGA